AACGGCCGUACCAUGCUGAAUAUACCGGUUCUCGUUAGAUCACCGAAGUCAAGCAUCAUUGGGCGCGGUCAGUACUUGGGUGGGUGACCACCUGGGAACACCGCGUGCCGUG